rnacentral:rRNA from 1 species
GACGAACGCUGGCGGCGUGCUUAACACAUGCAAGUCGAGCGGAAAGGCCCCUUCGGGGUACUCGAGCGGCGAACGGGUGAGUAACACGUGGGUAACCUGCCCCUUGCUCUGGGAUAACUCCGGGAAACCGGGGCUAAUACCGGAUACGACCACUUUAGGCAUCUUCGGUGGUGGAAAGUUUUCGGUCGAGGGAUGGACCCGCGGCCUACCAGCUUGUUGGUGGGGUAAGUGGCCUACCAAGGCAGUGACGGGUAGCCGGCCUGAGAGGGCGACCGGCCACACUGGGACUGAGACACGGCCCAGACUCCUACGGGAGGCAGCAGUGGGGAAUCUUGCGCAAUGGCCGAAAGGCUGACGCAGCGACGCCGCGUGU